rnacentral:rRNA from 1 species
CGUAGGUGGCAAGCGUUGUCCGGAUUUAUUGGGUUUAAAGGGUGCGUAGGUGGCCCUGUAAGUCAGUGGUGAAAUAUCUCAGCUUAACUGAGAGGGUGCCAUUGAUACUGCAGGGCUUGAGUACAGAUGAGGUAGGCGGAAUUGACGGUGUAGCGGUGAAAUGCAUAGAUAUCGUCAAGAACACCGAUAGCGAAGGCAGCUUACCAAGCUGUAACUGACACUGAGGCACGAAAGUGUGGGGGAUCAAACAGGAUUAGAUACCCUGGUAGUCCACACUGUAAACGUUGAUGACUCGAUGUUGGCGAUACACAGCCAGCGUCCAAGAGCAAUCGUUAAGUCAUCCACCUGGGGAGUACGCCGGCAACGGUG